AUGCUUACUUCAGCAGCACAUAUACUAAAAUUAGAAGAAUACAGAGAAAAUUAGCAUGGACUCUGCACAAGGAUUCCAUGCAAAGUGAUGAAGCAUUCCAUAUUUUU
ensembl:snRNA U6 U6 spliceosomal RNA